rnacentral:piRNA from 1 species
UGUCAGAAAGGACAGAGUAAACUGCUGUGAC